UAUGGAUAACUCAAAUUCCACACCUAUUUUUGAAUUUUUUGCACCUUCGGAGACCAGCCAUAGACCAUGGGAAUCAACAAGUCCUUUCUUUGCCCCUAAUUAUGAUCUGUGUCCAGAGUUGAUUGUAAUAGGUCAAAACCAACCCUUUUCUAUAGCCGAGGUCCUAUCUUUUAAUCAAGAAGAUAAUGAACUUUUAGCUACACCUAGGGAAUCUUUUAAUCUUUCUAUAAAUUAUAGUUUAGACCUAGCCCUACAAUACCAUGUUUUUCCUCGAUAUUUUUACAUUGGUCUUGAUCAUAUAACCUUUGGUAGAGUUUUUCUUUCUUAUCUGUUAGUAA
rnacentral:lncRNA from 1 species